rnacentral:tRNA from 1 species
UACGGACUUAAAAUCCGUCGACUUUUAAAAUCGUGAGGGUUC